UAAACCCUGGACACGGCCGGAUGAUCCGGCCUGGCCCCUGCGGUUUGUGAGCGCCAGACUCUCUGGACACGGCCGGGUGAUCCGGCCCUAGACCGGAUGAUCCGGCCCUUGCAGUUUGUGAGCGCCCGAACCUCUCUGUCCAAGUCCGGAAGAUCCGGCCCUACCCCAGAUGAUCCGAACCUGUAACUUUCUGAGCGCCCGGUAGUCUAUGAGUGACUCCGGAUGAUCCGGACCUAUAUCGGAUGAUCCGAACCUGGGAGUUUUCGAGUGUGUUUUAGCCUAUUCUGUUACCCAUCCGGAUUAUCCGAGGAUACCCCGGAUGAUCCGGAACCCACAGAAAACACACAUAACGGUCACCUGCGGGGGUGGGGCUAUAAAUACCCCUCACCCCCCCCCCCUCAGUUACUCCUCUCUGCCCUCACGACCAACCUAGUUCCAAAAGCAUUCAUUCCUUCACUCCUCUCCCUCCAAGAUCUUGAUUCUAGCAAGGAUUCACCUAGGGAUUGAGAGGAAGUGAGAUUCGCGGGUUGGUGUGUGAGCACUCCGUGAGCUUUCACUCGUUCAUCUCAAGAAGCACUUGAAGCAACCUUUAAUUCGUCGAUUCACAUUCUUUACUCUUGGAGCUUUGCUCCUAGACGGUUAGAGGUGCCGGUGAGCUCCCAUUCUUUUGUGGUUGAGCCUCCGGAAGUUUGUAUUACCUCUUCUCUUCGUGAGAAGAAUAGUAAAUGACUCAAUCCUCCUACGUGGUUGAUUGGGCGAGGAAAAAGGGUUAUAGGGCAAUCCUGCUCUUUAUGAGCCCCUCAACGGAGAUGUAGCUCCUUCGUGGAGUGAACUUCGGGAUAAAUCUUAUGUCUCCUUUACUUUUGUUAUUCAUAUUGUUCUUGAGCUCGUUUUGACCCGAUCUACUUUUUAGUAGCAUAUCUCUUGUGUAGAACUUAUUCUCAGGCUUGUUUACUUCAUUUGUCAACUUCGUAUUCAAACAGAAUCGUCAAAAGCUGAGUAGAUUUCAAAUCUCGUACAAGAUUCUUUUUUGCUGUUGGAUCAUCCGACCCUACGCAGGAUCAUCCGGGCCUAAGAAGGACCGGAAGAUCCGAUGUAAGGCCGGAUCAUCCGGACCUGAUGUUUUCCUGCCAAGUUUUUUCAGGAAAUUUUUAAACAGGCCUAUUCACCCCCUCCCCCUUUAGGCCUUGUGUCGAUCCUUUCACUCAUGCCGGAUGAUCCGAACCUGUGAGUUUUCGAGUGUGUUUUUGCCUAUUCUAUUACUUGCUCUGAUGAUCUGGUGUUACGCCGAAUGAUCCGGGUAUUCCAGAAAACACACAUAACGGUCAUGUGUGGGGGUGAGAGUAUAUAUACCCCUUCACCCCCCCUCAUUUACUUCUCUCUGCCUCCACGACCAACCACGCCUCCAUAUCAUUCAUUCCUCCACUCUCUUCCAUCCAAAAGCUUGAUUCUUGCAAGGAUUCACCUAGGGAUUGAGAGGGAGUGAGAUUUGUAGGUUGAGGUGUGAGCACUUUGUGAGAUUCACUCAUUCAUCUCAAGAAGCACUUAAAGCAUCCUUUGAUUCAUCGAUUCACGUUUAUUACUCUUGGAGCUUUGCUCCUAGACGGUUAGAGGUGCCGGUGAGCUCCCAUUCUUUUGUGGUUUGAGCCUCUGGAAUUUUGUAUUACACCCUCUCUUUGUGAGAACAAUAGUAGGUGACUCAAUCCUCCUUGGUGGUCGAUUGGGUGAGAAAAAGGGUUAUAGGGCAACCCUGCUCUUUGUGAGCACCUCAACGGAGAUGUAGCUCCUUUGUGGAGUGAACUUCGGGAUAAAUCUUGCUUCUCCUUUACUUACUGUUGUUCAUUGUUCUUGAGCUUGUUUUGACCCGAUCUACUUGUUAGUAGCUUAUCUCUUGUAUAGAACUUGCUCGCAUGCUUAGUUACUUCAUUUGUCAACUUUGUAUUCAAAGAGAAUAUUCAAAAGCUAAGUAGAAUUCAAUUCUCGUACAAAAUUCCCUCCUCCUGUCGGAAGAUCCGACCCAACGCCGGAUCAUCCGGGCCUGGGAAGGCUGGAAGAUCCGACAUAAAGGCUGGAUCAUCCGACACUGAUGAUUUUCUGUCAAGUUUUUCAUAAUUUUUUUUUAAUAAGCCUAUUCACCCCCCCUCUAGGCCUAGUGCCGAUCCUUUCAGCUAUGCAGCCCAAUGAAUGGCAACAAUUCUCCCAGCGCGCACCAUGCAGCCUAACCCACAAUCCCAUGUAAAGUCGACGUGCACGGCAAAAAGUUGCACCCGCAAGGAAUCGAUCCUGAGACCUCACGUAUCGAGAAUCGCUGCUAACCAAUUGAAUUGCAUGCAUUUCUUGUCUAGGAUACACCUGCAACCCUAUUUAAUAAGGGAAACAAGGAAAACUCUACCCUAAUUAAUCACUCCUUGGUAUGCACAAUCAUGUCCUAAACUACCUCUAAAUCCUAUACGGAGGGAGUAUGUCCUAACAAAUUCUGCAUUGAUAUGUACACAAAUACAAGCAGCAGAUCAGAACAGGCAAAGUGGACUUGGUCUUGUUCCUCGGUAAGCUUCAACAUUUAAAAGGUGUAUUUUUUCUUUACUAUUCCAUAUUAUUAGUUCAUACGUAUUUAGGUCGUUUUGUUUGCCGGAUAUAUGUGCAAAUGCUUUGUCAGCUAUGUUCUUUCAAAAAAUUUCAUUGGUACUCGAUAACAAUUGAGAUCACAGUCUGCAGUGCAUCUUCUCAUAAUUUCUGAAAGUCCUUUUCAAGAAUCAUGGAGGGGAAAUAACUUUGUUGUUUGCAGGGUUAGCUAUCCAACUUGCCAUCUGAAUUUUGAUUUGGCAUGCCUUCAUCUAAUCCAAGAAUCAUGGAGGGGAAAUGACUUUGUUGCUUGCAGGGUUAGCUAUUCAACUUGCCAUCUGAAUUUUGAUUUGGCAUGCCUUCAUCUAAUCCAUGAAUCAUGGAGGGGAAACGACUUUGUUGCUUGCAGGGUUAGCUAUCCAACUUGCCAUCUGAAUUGAUUUGGUUAGAUAUGAUUUACGUGACUAGCUAACAUAGUAGUACAUGUGGUUUACUAUGGGAGAAGGAAGAUUCCAUGAUUCUUGCAAGUUAAGUCUAGCAAUUCAGCAUUAUGACAUACGUAGCAAUUACUGAUUUCUUAUUUUUCUGAAUUAACAACAAUCAUUUGACAUGCUUUGGCGAGUAUGGAUUCUAAAAAAAAUAGUCAUGUGUGGUUAGGAAGUUUCCUAUGGAUAAAUGACCAUAAAGUACAUGAUUAUGCUUCAUAGAUAUUUUUUCAACUGCAAAAUCCUGUCUGUAUCUGCGUUUCAUCAUUAGUGUACAGAUGAAAAUGUCACCAGCCACAUUGCUCCGCAUGAGUAGCCAGAGCAGCAACUCAUUAUUACCGAUUGCCCAAUUUGCCCAGUUGGGUCUACUAAAUUUCUAGAACUAGUGAUUUUUUUAUUCCAAUAUCUCACUUUCUUUCUAGGAAAGCAAGAUUCUAAAUCUGUUGGACAUGAAGAUAUGUAAGUAGUUGCAGGAGCCUGAGGGUGUGGGAGCAGUUGGUUUGGGACAUUUGCGGUUGUACGACACCAAGAAUAUGGAAGCAACUGGCUGUAUAAAUGGACUAGAAAUAAAAAGUUUCCUAUGAUAUUGAUUUGAAAGAAAAUGUAUGUCUGAGCAUUCUGAAUUAUAGGUUAACUAUUGCCUUUGGAUCACUAGAUCGUGUAUGUUUGAACAAGAAGAAAGAGAGGCCAGGUGUGUACUGCUGUAUUAUAAUCUAACAUAGGUAAGUUAUCUUGUUAGAUUCA